rnacentral:rRNA from 1 species
UACGUAGGGGGCGAGCGUUGUCCGGAUUUACUGGGCGUAAAGCGCGUGUAGGCGGAAGCCUAAGUCCGAUCUGAAAGCCCCUGGCUCAACCAGGGAUCCGGACCGGAAACUGGGCUUCUUGAGGACGGCAGGGGAGUGUGGAAUUCCUGGUGUAGCGGUGAAAUGCGUAGAGAUCAGGAGGAACACCCAUGGCGAAGGCAGCACUCUGGACCGGACCUGACGCUGAGACGCGAAAGCGUGGGGAGCGAACGGG